AUUGAACGCUGGCGGCAGGCUUAACACAUGCAAGUCGAGCGGGGAAGGGUAGCUUGCUACCUGACCUAGCGGCGGACGGGUGAGUAAUGCUUAGGAAUCUGCCUAUUAGUGGGGGACAACAUUCCGAAAGGAAUGCUAAUACCGCAUACGCCCUACGGGGGAAAGCAGGGGAUCUUCGGACCUUGCGCUAAUAGAUGAGCCUAAGUCAGAUUAGCUAGUUGGUGGGGUAAAGGCCUACCAAGGCGACGAUCUGUAGCGGGUCUGAGAGGAUGAUCCGCCACACUGGGACUGAGACACGGCCCAGACUCCUACGGGAGGCAGCAGUGGGGAAUAUUGGACAAUGGGCGAAAGCCUGAUCCAGCCAUGCCGCGUGUGUGAAGAAGGCCUUUUGGUUGUAAAGCACUUUAAGCGAGGAGGAGGCUACCGAGAUUAAUACUCUUGGAUAGUGGACGUUACUCGCAGAAUAAGCACCGGCUAACUCUGUGCCAGCAGCCGCGGUAA
rnacentral:rRNA from 1 species